rnacentral:rRNA from 1 species
AUUGAACGCUGGCGGCAGGCCUAACACAUGCAAGUCGAGCGGAUGAAGGGAGCUUGCUCCUGGAUUCAGCGGCGGACGGGUGAGUAAUGCCUAGGAAUCUGCCUGGUAGUGGGGGAUAACGUCCGGAAACGGGCGCUAAUACCGCAUACGUCCUGAGGGAGAAAGUGGGGGAUCUUCGGACCUUACGCUAUCAGAUGAGCCUAGGUCGGAUUAGCUAGUUGGUGGGGUAAAGGCCUACCAAGGCGACGAUCCGUAACUGGUCUGAGAGGAUGAUCAGUCACACUGGAACUGAGACACGGUCCAGACUCCUACGGGAGGCAGCAGUGGGGAAUAUUGGACAAUGGGCGAAAGCCUGAUCCAGCCAUGCCGCGUGUGUGAAGAAGGUCUUCGGAUUGUAAAGCACUUUAAGUUGGUAGGAAGGGCAGUAAGUUAAUACCUUGCUGUUUUGACGUUACCAACAGAAUAAGCACCGGCUAACUUCGUG